rnacentral:lncRNA from 1 species
GGAGGAGUGCCCUAAGCCGGUUGUACGUCUACUCUUAAACCUCAACUAAAGAGAGCUCAAGGAAGACAGAUUAGCUCACAAAAAAGAAGGGUGUGAAAAUUGAUAGGAAAAACGGAAGAAUUAUUACUAGUGGCAGUGGGGUGUGUGUUGCAGUGGUUCCAACAGCCAACUAAGUAUCCAACAAGAGACAGGUUGGUUGCUUGUGAUGAAGCUAAGGAGGGGGAGGAGAGAGAGAGGGAGGUGAGAGAAGAGAUGAGUGGGAAACAACUGCUGAGGUUAACAAUCGAUCUGAGCACAAAAAACAACCGACAAUGUCAUGUUCGUCCUCUCCCACGCCCUGCCACUUGGUCCCAUCCCAACCUUC